CAAUUCCAAUGUAAACUUAGAUGUUAAUCUGCAGAGGUACAGCUCUGCAGAAUAAGACUACAACCUUAACUAGUGAGUAAAUUCAAUUAACAACCAUAGUUGGCCUAAAAGCAGCCAUCAAUUAAGAAAGCGUUCAAGCUCAACAAUUAAACUUAUACUUAAUCCAAAAAAUUGUAUAAACUCCUAAUUUAGCAACUGGAUCAUUCUACUCUCCCGUAGAAGAGAUACUGUUAAUAUGAGUAACAAGAUUUUAUAUCUCCAAACACACGUGUAUAUCAGCCCGAAUCCCAACUGAUAGUUAACAAAUUGAUAAACCCAUGUACCCAAUUAAUAGUUUCCCAUUUCAUUGUUAACCCUACACCGGAGUGUAUGCAAGGAAAGAUUAAAAAAAGUAAAAGGAACUCGGCAAACACAAACCCCGCCUGUUUACCAAAAACAUCACCUCUAGCAUUACCAGUAUUAGAGGCACUGCCUGCCCAGUGACAUUAGUUUAACGGCCGCGGUAUCCUGACCGUGCAAAGGUAGCAUAAUCAUUUGUUCCUUAAUUAGGGACUAGUAUGAAUGGCCUCACGAGGGUUUAACUGUCUCUUACUUUCAAUCAGUGAAAUUGACCUUCCCGUGAAGAGGCGGGAAUACAAAAAUAAGACGAGAAGACCCUAUGGAGCUUAAAUUAAAGUGCCCAACAGAAUUAGAAUUUAAUCCAACAGAAACAACAACAUUCUAACUGGGCAACAAAUUUUGGUUGGGGUGACCUCGGAGUACAACAAAACCUCCGAGUGAUUUUAACUAAGACUAACCCGUCAAGGUGAUAUAGCUAAUUGAUCCAAUCGUAUUGAUCAACGAAACAAGUUACCCUAGGGAUAACAGCGCAAUCCUAUUUAAGAGUUCAUAUCGACAAUGGGGUUUACGACCUCGAUGUUGGAUCAGGACACCCCAAUGGUGCAGCAGCUAUUAAAGGUUCGUUU
rnacentral:rRNA from 1 species